GCCUCCGUAGCUCAACGGAUAGAGCAACGGCCUUCUAAGCCGCAGGUUGUGGGUUCGAUUCCUACCGGGGGCG
rnacentral:tRNA from 1 species